UACGGAGGGUGCAAGCGUUAAUCGGAAUAACUGGGCGUAAAGCGCACGCAGGCGGUUGGAUAAGUCAGAUGUGAAAUCCCCGGGCUCAACCUGGGAACUGCAUUUGAAACUGUCUGACUAGAGUCUUGUAGAGGGGGGUAGAAUUCCAGGUGUAGCGGUGAAAUGCGUAGAGAUCUGGAGGAAUACCGGUGGCGAAGGCGGCCCCCUGGACAAAGACUGACGCUCAGGUGCGAAAGCGUGGGGAGCAAACAGG
rnacentral:ncRNA from 2 species